rnacentral:rRNA from 1 species
AUUGAACGCUGGCGGCAGGCCUAACACAUGCAAGUCGAGCGGAUGAAGGGAGCUUGCUCCUGGAUUCAGCGGCGGACGGGUGUGUAAUGCCUAGGAAUCUGCCUGGUAGUGGGGGAUAACGUCCGGAAACGGGCGCUAAUACCGCAUACGUCCUGAGGGAGAAAGUGGGGGAUCUUCGGAUCUCACGCUAUCAGAUGAGCCUAGGUCGGAUUAGCUAGUUGGUGGGGUAAAGGCCUACCAAGGCGACGAUCCGUAACUGGUCUGAGAGGAUGAUCAGUCACACGGGAACUGGGACACGGACCAGACUACUACGGGAGGCAGCAGUGGGGAAUAUUGGGCAAUGGGCGAAAGCCUGAUCCAGCCAUGCCGCGUGUGUGAAGAAGGUCUUCGGAUUGUAAAGCACGUUUAGUUGGGAGGAAGGGCAGUAAGUUAAUACCUUGCUGUUUUGACGGUAACAACAGAAUAAGCAACGGCUAACUUCGUG